rnacentral:rRNA from 1 species
GGGGGGGGGGGGGGGGGGGGGGGGGGGGGGGGGGGCGGGCGGGGGGGGGCGGGGUUGGUGGGGGGGUGGGGUGGCGGGCGGGUGGGUGACACGGGGGUAACCGGCCCUUGACUUGGGGAUCACUUCAGGAAACUGGGGCUAAUACCGGAUAGGAGCUCCGGCUGCCUGGUGGGGGUUGGAAAGUUUCGGCGGUUGGGGAUGGACUCGCGGCUUAUCAGCUUGGUGGUGGGGUAGUGGCUUACCAAGGCGUUGACGGGUAGCCGGCCUGAGAGGGUGACCGGCCACAUUGGGACUGAGAUACGGCCCAGACUCCUACGGGAGGCAGCAGUGGGGAAUAUUGCACAAUGGGCGGAAGCCUGAUGCAGCAACGCCGCGUGCGGGAUGACGGCCUUCGGGUUGUAAACCGCUUUCGCCUGUGACGAAGCGUGAGUGACGGUAAUGGGUAAAGAAGCACCGGCUAACUACGUG